GGGCCAGUAAUUUAGUGGACAGAAUAGCGGUCUGCUAAACCGCAUGUCGGGGGUUCGAAUCCCCCCUGGCCCG
rnacentral:tRNA from 1 species